rnacentral:rRNA from 1 species
AGGAUCAUUAAAGAAUUGCCCCGUCUUCUCGAAGAUGGGUUCUAUUCCAAACCGUGUUUACAUACCUUUGUUGCUUUGGCGGGCCGCCGUUUCGGCGUUGGCUCCGGCUGACUGCGCCCGCCAGAGAACCACAACUCUUUUGUUUAGUAAUGUCUGAGUACUAUAUAAUAGUUAAAACUUUCAACAACGGAUCUCUUGGUUCUGGCAUCGAUGAAGAACGCAGCGAAAUGCGAUAAGUAAUGUGAAUUGCAGAAUUCAGUGAAUCAUCGAAUCUUUGAACGCACAUUGCGCCCCUUGGUAUUCCGAGGGGCAUGCCUGUUCGAGCGUCAUUAUAACCACUCAAGCCUCGGCUUGGUCUUGGGGUCCCGCGGUCUCGCGGCCCUUAAAAUCAGUGGCGGUGCCGUCUGGCUCUAAGCGUAGUAAUUCUCUCGCUAUAGGGUCCAGGUGGUGGCUUGCCAAAACCCCCCAUUUUUCUAUGGUUGACCUCGGAUCAGGUAGGGAUACCCGCUGAACUUAAGCAUAUCAAUAAGCGGAGGA